CUGCCAGAAAGUGAGAGAAAUAAAAAAAAUACCCAUAAUGCACUGCAGCACAAGCAGCUAAUAAGAACUGUUUAUAGUUAAUAGUUUCAGGGUAUUUGUACUUCUAAAUUAUACUUAGAGAUUGAUAAAUGUACUGUAAAAGUGUCUUUGUGAGAUUGUACUAUAAAAUUUAAUGUCUACAUAUUUGUAAGACAAAGUAUUAGUAUUUAAAACAGGCUGCUGUUCAUGAUCUUUCUAUAUGUAUGUCUAUAUAGUCUCCAUUAUGAGGAUCUCUGCCUCUCAGACCAGGGGCUAGUUGCAUAAACUUAGCCACCAUUUUAAGACUGUUUCUUAAGAACUAGUUUGACCAACUAGCAGUUGCCAAGGGGUAAUUAGUCUUACUUUUCCAAUACAAAUAAGACCAAUCUACCUUUUCAUAACUGAAUUAAAAAAGUUAUGGCCAAUCUUGAAGAAAAAAAAAAAAUUAAUUAGAUGGCUAACUUUUCAAGACUUAUCUAAACAGUUUAUGCAACCGGCCCCAGGUCUGGUGUUUGCAAUCGAUACAUAAUCUGGGUCUGUUUAGACUCUGUCUCAUCCAUCAUCCAGCUAUCCUCAUCCUCUAGCACUCGGGUCCCCGGCCUCAGGAGGGGACCCCAGACAGCUGUGGGCGGUUUAUUAGGCCAUGAGAUGACUGGGAACUUCCAGACAGGGUGUGUGAGCACAAACCAGGGUCGAUCUGAUGCAUGGGGAAAAGAGAGGGAGGACAAAUUCUCCUGUGUCUUAUUUGCUCUGGAACCAUCAGGAUGCUGAGAAUAAAACAAACACAGUUGGCCUUCCCUCAGGGACAAUUGACAAUGUCUUACUGCUCAGUUGGACGCUUCGGCUUUACGGAGAUCAUGAGAUUGUGAGGAUGCAUGAGCUUCUCACUUUUCAAAAGUAAGAAUUAUGUAAUCUUCUAUAAUCGCUCUGACUGUUUACAGAGCUGCAAUCGGCAAGCAUGAAUAAAUAAAACCACCCAGGCACUUUUCAAAGAGGAUCCUCAUUUGCUGGUUGGACGGCUGAUGGUUGUAAUUUUGCCUUUUUAGCAUUUUAAUCAUGAGCCGACCAGAAAUGAGAUGACAAUCAGCAUUUGGGGUUUGAAAAAGGCAUAAUGUAAACUUAUUUAUAUAGAGAUGCACAGAGUUAAAUAAGAAUGAUUUUAAAUUAGCUUUUCCAUUUUCAUCUGAGAGAAAUCACAGAGACAUAAAUAACAUUCACGAGAGUCUGUGCUGCACAAAUUAAGAUGCAUCAAAGCUUGGCGAAUUCAACAGUAUCCAAAAAUGAAAAUCGGCUGAAAAUGUAUUCUCAGACCAUCCAAGAUGUAGAUGAUUUUGUUUCUUCAUCGGAACAAAUUUGGAGAAAUUUAGCAUUAAAUCACUUGCUCACCAAUGGAUCCUCUGUAGUGAAUGGGUGCCAUCAGAAUUAGAGUCCAAACAGCUGAUAAAAACAUCACAAUAAUCCAUAAGUAAACCACAUGACUGCAGUCCAUCAAUUAACAUCUUACGAGGCAAAUGUCUGUAAUAAAUUCAUCAAGAAGUUUUAACUCCUAACCAUUGCUUUUGACUAAAAUAUGAGUCAUCUAUCCAUACUAUUGGUUGCUUGAAUGAAAAGAUCAUCUCGUUUGAAUCAGGAGAGAAAUAUGCACAAAUUAAGCACCAUUUACAGUCAAAAACAGUUCAAAACUAUUCUAAACAAAUAUGUUGGUGGACUUUGAUGUGAGGGGACAAUAGGAGAUGAACUGUUUCACUGUAUGAAGCGUUAUUAUGAAUUAUGGAAAGUUUAAAGUUGAUGGUAUUGUUUCUUACAAUUUUUUUUUUCACUUCAAAGAACAUUAAUUUAUUGAGUCAUCGUGUGGAUUAUUUAUGGAUUAUUGUGAUGUUUUUAGCAGCUGUUUGGACUUUGAUUCUGAUGGCACCCAUUGUUAAAUACUAAAUAAUUACUGAUUAUAAUGACUUAUACGGUCUUUUUACACGUUGUGUUGCGUAUCAUGCUGCGCAAACAUAAAACCAUGUCUGCAUUUGUGAUCUGAGAAACAACAAACAACAAGCCUACUCUACUGCUCAAAACUUGCGUUUGAAUCAUCAUUGGC
ensembl:lncRNA